rnacentral:rRNA from 1 species
AUUGAACGCUGGCGGCAGGCCUAACACAUGCAAGUCGAACGAAGUCUUCGGACUUAGUGGCGGACGGGUGAGUAACACGUGGGAACGUGCCUUUAGGUUCGGAAUAACUCAGGGAAACUUGUGCUAAUACCGAAUGUGCCCUUCGGGGGAAAGAUUUAUCGCCUUUAGAGCGGCCCGCGUCUGAUUAGCUAGUUGGUGAGGUAAAGGCUCACCAAGGCGACGAUCAGUAGCUGGUCUGAGAGGAUGAUCAGCCACAUUGGGACUGAGACACGGCCCAAACUCCUACGGGAGGCAGCAGUGGGGAAUCUUGCGCAAUGGGCGAAAGCCUGACGCAGCCAUGCCGCGUGGAUGAUGAAGGUCUAGGAUUGUAAAAUCCUUUCACCGGUGAAGAUAAUGACUGUAGCCGGAGAAGAAGCCCCGGCUAACUUCGUGCCAGCCGCCGCCGUAAGAC